rnacentral:misc_RNA from 1 species
AAAGUGCGAGAACUGAGGUGAUCUGCAUUUAGCGCGAAUCCUUAGAACUUUGAACACAUAUUGUAGCCUUCGGGUUAACCGACUGGCUGUGUUUGCUUGAGCGUCUUAUAUUACUAAAGUCAUUUAACUAUUGACACAAUGGAGGGCUUUUUGUAACUAAAAACACCUUCUUAUAAUAUAAGAUGAAGGGUUUUUAUGAUUUUGAAAACCUAAUCUUCACUUUUAAAAGUGUAAUGAUCAGAAUAGAAAUGUUUAUGAUUAUUGUUUUUAAGUGGUAAGGUUUAAAUUUCAUAAUUACAUCUUCUUGUAACUAAAACUACUACUACAAUAACAAAAAAGACCUCAAGUCAAGCAAGAUUACCCGCUGAAUUUAA